rnacentral:lncRNA from 1 species
UCAUAGAAAGCCUAUCGAGUCAUCGAAGAAUGCCCGGGUGAUGCAAGCCAGAAAGACCAUUACGUGAAGCAGUGAUGGGCGAACAUAUACGUGGAGAACAAACGAAGUGAUUGUGCGAGCAGGCCAAGGCAGAAAGUUGCAAGGAGACUAUUAGUGCCACGAAACCAGCCACCGCCGCCUGUAGCAUCAUCCGGUGCCCGUGCUGCAAGUUCAGUCGUAACGCCUGUGGAGGGGGAUCCGACCCCAUGGAGAAAGUAGGGGCUGACGAGCUGCGUUUAAGUAUGCUUUGCUGGUGCUUUUAGCUAUUUCAAAAGACACAAGAAGUGGCCCGACAUCACUUGGCCAUAGGCUGCUCUUCCUCAUCUCAAUGAGCAUAGCUCUUGGAACACUGGCUCCGCCAGAAAACUAGCCAUAAAGUUCAAGGUAAAGUUUUUAAACCAUGUACUUUUUGUCAUCUCAUGUGAGC